GUACAUAUGUACACAUACUAAAAUCGGAAUGAUACAGAGAAGAUUAGCAUGGCCCCUGCUCAAGGAUGAUAUGUAGAUUUGUGAAGCAUUCAUAUUUUAG
ensembl:snRNA U6 U6 spliceosomal RNA